UACGUAGGGCGCAAGCGUUAUCCGGAAUUAUUGGGCGUAAAGAGCUCGUAGGCGGUUUGUCGCGUCUGCCGUGAAAGUCCGGGGCUCAACUCCGGAUCUGCGGUGGGUACGGGCAGACUAGAGUGAUGUAGGGGAGACUGGAAUUCCUGGUGUAGCGGUGAAAUGCGCAGAUAUCAGGAGGAACACCGAUGGCGAAGGCAGGUCUCUGGGCAUUAACUGACACUGAGAGACGAAAGCUAGGGGAGCGAAUGGG
rnacentral:rRNA from 1 species